rnacentral:rRNA from 1 species
AGCGAACGCUGGCGGCGUGCCUAACACAUGCAAGUCGAACGUGAAAAGGGAAACCUGCGUCAAGUGGCGUACGGGUGAGUAACGCGUAGGUAAUCUACCCCAGAAUCUGGAAUAACCUGCCGAAAGGCGGGCUAAUACUGGAUAGAGCGAGGGAACUCGUAAGAGAGUUUUUCGGGAAAGGGAGCCCGCAAGGGCCUUCGUUCUGGGAUGAGCCUGCGUCUCAUUAGCUAGUUGGUAAGGUAACGGCUUACCAAGGCGAUGAUGAGUAGCUGGUCUGAGAGGAUGAUCAGCCACACUGGAACUGAAACACGGUCCAGACUCCUACGGGAGGCAGCAGUGGGGAAUCUUGCGCAAUGGACGAAAGUCUGACGCAGCCACGCCGCGUGAGUGAAGAAGGCCUUCGGGUUGUAAAGCUCUGUCGGAUGGGACGAACAUCUUCAUAGUGAAUAGCUAUGAGGACUGACGGUACCAUCAAAGGAAGCACCGGCUAACUCCGUG